CGGAAUCAGCGCCGCUGUCACCAAUUACGUCGUCAUUUUCAUUGGAUUUUUCCUGUUCAAGUGAUGAAAAUAAUGAAGCGAAGAGUUUAACGGAUAAAUGGAGUUUUUCCGCUGUUACUGUUAGUGAUAUUAGUGAUGACGCGAUCGACGAACCGAGUUAUAUGGGUGGCCUGUAUGAAAACCUAAACUGUCAAUGUUCCUCGCCCUGUGCUUUGCAAAUUUCGCCAGUCCACAUUAAAGAAAUUCAGAAUGACAUCGCAGCCAAGGGACGUGAAAGUAGAAGACAAUAUUUUUUAUACUUAGUAAGGCAGCAGCUUGGUAGAAUUGGUUCAGUGUUUGUUAUGAAAGGGUGUCAGUUGUGCCUAAAGGCAUGCAGUAGUGUGCAUGGUAUUUCUGAGAAGUAUCUUGAGGAUGUGGUUAAGGAUGUGCGAUCAGGACAUAGAAAUGCACAUGAUUUUAGAAAAAUGGUCUAAACGACUAUCAUAUAAAACAGGCCUGUGCAUGGCCUGGGUUAGGGACUUCUUUCUUGUAAUGGGAGAACACAUGCCAAAUAAGAAGGUUACCUACCUUCCGGGCUACACAAAACGCUCGGUUUUCCGACGGCUUGAAAGGUCAUUUCGAAAGCGGUAUGGUGACAUAGCAGAUGAGCAUGUCAUCACAUAUCAGCAUCUAUGCAGUGUCUGGAAGAGGGGGGAUGGCCCUGGAAGUGUGCGCCUCAUUUGUGGAAAACCCGAUGGGUUCACAAAAUGCACUACAUGCACUCGACUGCAUGAUGCUGCCAAAGCGGCAACAACACAAUCUGUUGUUAUCCAUAUUGAGAAAUCUCUUGAGCUACAUUAUAAGACUGUGGGUGAUUUGCGCCUUGUUUAUCACAAGACUCGAGAACAGUCGCAGUCCCCAAUCUCCCGAACCACAACAGUUAUCAUCGAUGGGAUGGAUCAAAAUAAAACCAAUCUACCGCAUCUGACCACAGAAGAUAAAACAAGCAAGGGUCAGAUAAGACUGAAAACGCAUAUCACAGGAAUAAAAAUUCACUGUUCGCCUACCGAGGACACAGAUUCCGUCAUCGCAAUAGUUUACGUUGAUGUCAAUGAGUAUCCUCACGACUCCAAUUUGACCAUUUCCAUCCUGCUUGAUGUGCUGCUAAUGCACCACCGCAUCUUUAAACCCAAACCCCAUCUACAAAUGGACAAUUGUUGGAGGGAGAACAAGAAUCGCUACAUUCUUUCAUUCUUGUUCUUCCUUGUGCAUAUAGAUGUUUUUGAAGAUGUAUCUCUGAACUUCUUACCAGUUGGUCAUACGCAUGAGGAUGUUGAUCAGAUGUUCAGAUGUAUCAAUACAGCCAUUUCUUCCUGCGGCAAUAUCAAUACUCUGGAUGAAUUCAUGGAUAGACUAACGGACAAAGACACAUUCUCGCCUAAGAUUGAAGUACAUAAUGUACAAAGUGUGUUCAACUGGCGUGACCACAUAAUUCCAUUCUUGCCUGACAACUUCAGUGGCCAAUCCAAGCCACACCAGUUCCAAUUCAGGAAAGUAGAUGGGCAGGCAAGGAUGCGCUAUCGCCUGUGGGCUGAUGACCCGUGGAGCCCUGAGGGACCAGGCAUGACAUGCCUUGAGGCUUUCCCAGAUUUAGCCGACGAACCAGCAGUGGUUGAACCCAGCUCCGAGCGGAUGGAGCUGGACGAGGUCCGCAAAGGCGUCAAGGCUCUCGGGCCAAGACUGGUGUCCCGAGAUCACCAGUGGUGGGACCGCUACUUCCUAGCACUGGAAAAUCCUAACGUCAAUGACAAGGAAUGGCCGCUGCCCAAAAUCAGCCAAACGAUCGGCUUUUGGGAAAUUGAUGAAGAUAUGACAGACGUUCCGCAGCAUCUGUUGGAGAUCAGAUCCGGCCUCACACAACAAUGCCCAGCGGUGAUCAUUGGUAAUCAAGGACAAAUGCCGGCAAUUCAAGAGGUAGAUCGAACAAAAAUUGAGAUUGGUGAUCUGGCGGCAAUAUACACCGUGGAAAAGGAGGGUAGACCAUGGAUCGCCAAGGUGAUUGAUAUCAAUGAGGACACGAUCAAGAUUCAUUGGUUCCAUGGGUCUUGGAAUGGAGUUUGCCGGCCAUGGUACAACAACAUCAGCAAAAAGCAAGUACCAUGGCUGGAUGAAGUUCAUGUGACGAGUGUUGUUCUGUGGGGGUUUAGAUUGACAGAGAAGGGUGCUUGUUUGACUAGGACUGUGGCCAGAGAGUUGAAAGACAGAAGUAACAUUUGAAGAUGAGGUAGAGGAUGAUGUCGAUAAUCAGACUGAUGAGGACGAUAAUGAUGAAGGUGAAGAUGAAGGUGGUCAUGAUUAUGAUCAGGAUGAGUCUGAUGUUGGUGUUGCCGAGGCGGAUGCAGUUCCAAGUUCUAGUUCCAAGACUUUGAAGACAAAGAAAACAAAGAAGAAAAAGGAAGCGCCCCACACAUCAAAGAAAGCUCCAUGGACUGAUGAGCAAAGGGAAGCAGUCCUAAGGCACUUCCAGCGUCACAUAGCUCUUAAAAAGUGCCCAGGAAAGAAAGAUGUAGACGAUUGUAAAAAAGAGGAGCCAUGUGUUAAAGAUAGGGAUUGGAGGAACAUCAAAGAUUUUGUGAGACAUCAAAUUGUGAAAGCCAAAAAAAGGCAGGCUGAUCAGUAUAAAAAGUUCAAGUAAAAUUUAUUGUAAGAAGAUGUUUUGAGAAUACCGUUACCGUCACAUGGGAUGACUUUGAACAGCGGGGCGACUUUGAAACCCCCCAGAAAUGAUUCUUGUGACGAGAAACAUCUACAGCUGGGUGUUCAAAGUUACCCCACUGUUCAAAGUCACCCCGUGUGACGGUACUUGGGUUCUGUAUGUCAUGUGCAUGUAUGUCGACUAAAGUUUGUGCAGCCAAACUGCCAAUAGGCAAAAACAUUGAGUCGGUGGCUGAUGUGAUUAUUUUCUCGAGCUAAACUUUCUCCAUAAAUAUGAUAAAUAGAUAUCCUGAACAUCAGGGGUUUUGUAUUGCACUCAUACCUCCCUUAGCUCUAUCCCUGAGUUUGAAGGGGGUCACCUAUUUGUCACAAUUUUUCACCGUCGGGUUUACGGCAGCCAAUCAGGCUUCAUGUGUAAUAUGGUACCCCUGAUGUCCAGGGUGUAAAUAGAGGGCCUGUGACUGAAGGCUAGCAAAGAACAGCAAAAAUCUGUGGAACGAUGCAUUGGUCAUUAUCAUCGUCUCUAUAACCAAUAUAUUCAGUUAAUCGCAUUGAUGAGACUUUUUUGCCAUUUUCAGAGUGGACAAUUUUUGCAAAAAUGUCAUGUCAUCAAUCAUUGUUUAAGUCAAAUGGUUGGCGCAGUGUGCAUUUGCACCAAUUUACAUGUACUUAGUAUAUCGGUGCAAAAUGUACACAUAACUGUAUCAUCUCCUUUUGCAAUGUAUCAUGUGUGUAUGCUUGCAAUUGAAUUCAAGUUGGGACCACCUUGCUCAUUGGGAGGUGCCCGUUUGAAACCUGGAAGGAAUGUCUGGACAUUGCAUGUCCCUAUUAUCAAUAGUGUAGAUGAAGAGUCCCUGUUUGGUCAGUAAAAGACAAAUCUCCCAAUAUUUUGGUGUUUUGUGAUAUCCUCUUCCUAAAUCAUCUUUUGACUAGGACUUAAUAGCCUGACUUUCUUACUUUGGAAACUUAAUGAUAACUUUAGGUGUUUAGGCACGUGACCAAUACUAUUUUGGGCACCAUAUUAGAAAUCAUGUAAAAUCAGGUGCCUGACAUACAAGGUUUGAGCCCAAGUUUAAGUCAUGAACUUGAGUGAGUUAAUAAUUCCACAGUCCAAAUAACUAAAUACUUUGUAGAGGGCUCAUGGUUUAUAGCGGGUCAUUGCGCUUUCAGUGUCACUCAUAUUGUGGCGCUUUGAAUCACUUCAGAGUGUAGUGUGACGCUACCAAAAUGUAUGCCCUAUAACCAAAGCGAAUUCCGCUAUUCAAUAUCAGAAAAACGGUUUGAUAGGGCUUUUAGUGUGAACACAAUGUAUCUCAGGCUACUGAGUAACAAUUAGUGGGAGCAAACAAAAUCGUGUUUCUAUGGUUACUUAGACAGUCUGGCACCCAAUAUAACAAAAGUUAUAUGCAAUGGGGAAAUAUAAAAUGUGUAAAGUUGAUGUACUCGGAUAAAAAUCACUAGUACUUGUGGCAAGUGUUUGUGGCUAGAUGACAUUGAUGAUAUUAUGUAGAGAAACAUUGCAUACUACAGUGUGGUGAAAAAGCUCAAACCCACACUGUGGAACAAAUUGUAUAGGUAUUUGCUGAAUUGUUGUAUACUUUGAUUAAUUGUUCAUGCAAAGUCAAUAUCAUGGCCUAAAUGCCUUAACAUUAGACUUACAGUCGGCUUAUAUCUGUGAAAUAAGGCUGUUGCAUUAGGGUCGGUAACAAGCAGAGGAGAGGAGUGGUUUCAUAUUUUCAGUGUCUGUAGUACCGUCACACAAGGUGACUUUGAACAGUGGGGUAACUUUGAACACCCGGCUGUAGAUGUUUCUCGUCACAACAAUCAUUUCUGGGGGGUGUUCAAAGUCACCCUGCUGUUUAAAGUCACCCUAUGUGAUGGUACUGAUGAUCUUCAACUCGGGCUCCAGCUAUUGUGCAGUGGCAUGCAGUUAUGUUCAUCAGUAAGCCUGAUGUAACCUUGUGAAAAAAAGUCCUAAUUAAAUUACUUAGUGAAGUUUGAAGUAUUUUUUACUAAAACUAUUAUACCAUUCACUGUAAAUGAUAGUGGCUCAGGAAAGUAAUUAUCGGACCGGCUAUUGGCGAUAUAUAGUACUUAGAGGGUGCCUAUUGUGUUGUGUAUGCCUGCGUACAGGAUGUGGUGUCCUAAAAAUCACUAAAAGGUGUGUACUUUAUCAAACUAUGCUCCUAGACAAGGCUCAAGAAAGAGCUUAGUUUUUAUUUGGGCAGGACUGUAACUCCUAAUUAUUGAGGCAAAUGACUUCGCACUUCACAAAAUCUAAGUGUAGUAUUAUUGGGAAGCCAUUGCUGAACCAUCUAAAAAUCUGUUACUGUUUAUUACCACUUCAUAAGGAGUAAGUCUUCAUAUUUUCUGAUUAUUUAGUAGGGCAUUUUAUGUUACCGAGGUAAUCAAUUUUCAUUUGCUGAGGAAAUGAGUAUACAUGUAUUAACUAGGUCUAGGGGCUCACGAUCUCAACGAAUAGAUAGUGCAGGAAUAGAGUCCCCACUUAGUCAACACAGAGUGUGUCCUUCUGCUCAACCCUUGUCAAAUGGGGACAAAAUGUACAGAGGCAUUUGUGUCCCCAUUUGUUGGAUUAAAUAUGGGUAGUCCCCAUUUGGCACAAAACAUAUGUAUGUGUGUCAAACUAUGCUCCUAGACAAGGCUCAAGAAAGACUUUAGUUUAUAUUGUUGGCAGGUUAUCAUGGUUAUUGAGGCAAAUGGCUUUGCACUACACAAAAACUAAUUGUAGUAUAUUUGAAAAGCCAUUGCUGCACCUUUUAAAAAUCUGUUACUGUUUAUUACCACUUCAUAAGGAGUAAGUCUUCAUAUUUUCUGAUUAUUUAGUAGUUCAUUUUAUGUUACCGAGGUAAUUAAUUGUCAUUUGUUGAGAAAAUGAGCAUACAUGUAUUAACAGAGGGUCAAGGGGUUUGUACAAAGUUGUUUGAAUUGAGGGUCUUGGGACCUAUCUAAAUUUGUGUGCAAACUUCUACAGAUAGGUUCAUACACGAGCCGUGGAAAAAAGAAUAUCAAUAGAUUUAUACAGAAUCUCCUCAAAUUGCCAUCCUAGCAUCAAGAUGAUGAGGAGGUGUUUCGGUUGUCUAAACUGGGUCCCUUAUAGAUCUGCGACUGUAUCUCGAUGUGCCUUUCUCUCUUGUAUUUGUUGCCAAAUGGGGUCACUUUCCCCAAAUCGACCACACAAGUUUGAACCCCUAGCAAAUGGAGCCCCCACUUAGUCAGCACAGGAUGUGUCCUUCUGCUCCAUCCUUGUCAAAUAGGGACAAAAUGUACAGAGGCAUUUGUGUCCCCAUUUGUUGGAUUAAAUAUGGGUAGUCCCCAUUUGGCACAAAACAUAUGUAUGUGUGUCAAACUAUGCUCCUAGACAAGGCUCAAGAAAGACUUUAGUUUAUAUUGUUGGCAGGUUAUCAUGGUUAUUGAGGCAAAUGGCUUUGCACUACACAAAAACUAAUUGUAGUAUAUUUGAAAAGCCAUUGCUGAACCUUUUAAAAAUCUGUUACUGUUUAUUACCACUUCAUAAGGAGUAAGUCUUCAUAUUUUCUGAUUAUUUAGUAGUGCAUUUUAUGUUACCAAGGUAAUUAAUUGUCAUUUGUUGAGAAAAUGAGCAUACAUGUAUUAACAGAGGGUCAAGGGGUUUGUACAAAGUUGUUUGAAUUGAGGGUCUUGGGACCUAUCUAAAUUUGUGUGCAAACUUCUACAGAUAGGUUCAUACACGAGCCGUGGAAAAAAGAAUAUCAAUGGAUUUAUACAGAAUCUCCUCAAAUUGCCAUCCUAGCAUCAAGAUGAUGAGGAGGUGUUUCGGUUGUCUAAACUGGGUCUCUGAUAGAUCUGCGACUGUAUCUCGAUGUGUCUUUCUCUCUUGUAUUUGUUGCCAAAUGGGGUCACUUCCCCCAAAUUGACCACACAAAUUUGAACCCCGAGCAAAUGGAGCCCCCACUUAGUCAGCACAGGAUGUGUCCUUCUGCUCCAUCCUUGUCAAAUGGGGACAACAUGUACAUAGGCAUUAGUGUCCCCAUUUGUGGGAUUAUUAUAUAUGGGUAGUCCCCAUUUGGCACAAAACAUAUGUAUAUGUGUUAAACUAUGCUCCUAGACAAGUCUCAAGAAAGACUUCAGUUUAUAUUGUUGGCAGGUUAUUGAGGCAAAUGGCUUUGCACUACACAAAAACUGAGUGUAGUAUAUUUGAAAAGCCAUUGCUGAACCAUUUAAAAAUCUGUUACUGUUUAUUAUCACUUCAUAAGGAGUUAGUCUUCAUAUUUUCUGAUUAUUUAGUAGUGCAUUUUAUGUUACCAAGGUAAUUAAUUGUCAUUUGUUGAGAAAAUGAGCAUACAUGUAUUAACAGAGGGUCAAGGGGUUUGUACAAAGUUGUUUGAAUUGAGGGUCUUGGGACCUGUCUUAAUUUGUGUGCAAACUUCUACUUAUAGGUUUAUACACGAGCCGUGGAAAAAAGAAUAUCAAUAGAUUUAUACAGAAUCUCCUCAAAUUGCCAUCCUGGCAUCAAGACGAUGAGGUGUUUCGGUUGUCUAAACUGGGUCCCUGAUAAAUCUGCGACUGUAUCUCGAUGUGUCUUUCUCUCUUGUAUUUGUUGCAAAAUGGGGUCACUUCCCCCAAAUCGACCACACAAGUUUGAACCCCUAGCAAAUAGAGCCCCAACUUAGUCAGCACAGGAUGUAUCCUUCUGCUCCAUCCUUGUCAAUAGGGACAAAAUGUACAUAAGCAUUUGUGUCCCCAUUUGUGAGAUUAAAUAUGGGUAGUCCCCAUUUGGCACAAAACACAUGUGUUGGGGGGGGGGGAGUUAAUGGGCUUUGUAUGCUUUUUAGUUCACCUUUGGUAAGUCAUACACCCUACCUAACAUUGGGGCGCUGUGUGUCUAAUUAUGAAGUAUAAAGAGGAAACUCUAGGACCUCUCAUUGACGAACAAAGUGAAAGUUACAGUUGACCUUUAGUGCUGAAUAGGCGAGAUCUACUACUUGUGAUGCAGAGUGGAGACAUUUUUGGUCAUUAUAACCCAAGGAAGGGUCUAUAGUAAUUAUGCACCGUCCAUUAUCAUCCAUUGUCGUAAACAUUUGGUGGCACAUUUUUUUACGGCUGAAGCCGUUUUAUUCAAACUUGGUACAGUGUACACUUCUGGGUGACGGCUACUUCCAAUGUAAAUAUCUCUGAAACGACUCGGUUGAGGUUAUGGCAUUACUGAAGAGGAUAGGCAUAUUUGGUUACUUCUACACAAACUCUUCAAAUGGAAUUUCGGGGAUAAAUUUAGACAAAAUGACCGAUUUUGGUAAUGCCAUAAUAGAGGGUUUAAAAGAAAAUAAAAAUUCACUAUCCUUAUUGGAAGUGCCUUAUUUCUGUCACACAUAGGGCCUUGACCCAACUGCUUCAGAGGUAUUUACAUCAGAAAUGUUCCCCUUAUAUGGCUUAACUGCCAUUUGGCCUCUGGGUCUAUUUUUUUAGUAUAUUCACUGGCAAGUUACGAAGUUAUUAACUUUGUUCAGGAUGUGCUGGCUUACUUCAAGUUAUUUUGAACUUCCAUUACUGUAGUUUUAGUUAGACAUAUUUUUUUUAUGUACAUGCACUCUUGCAAGAAAACAAGUUUGUAAUUAACAUCAUUUUUUCAGGAGAUUUUUGCAAGGCAUCCUGUUCUGACCUUUGUCAAGUGCCAAUUUACCAAAACAAUCGAAGUUCUGAUCAGUAUGGGCUACCCGGUAUGUUAUUUUGGUUACCAAACGUCUCUCUAGUGGCAGAGAUUUGCUUUUGGCUAAAAACUAGAGCAAAAUUGUGACGCAAAUUUGAAAUAGAUACUGUUAACAGUGUAUUGGUUCUCGCCAAAUACUGCCUGGAAAGUGGGUCACCCACAGCGAAAAUAUAGUGUGUUGGACGUGACUGUUUUUUUUGUAAUUAAUGGCCAAUACCAAACCUACCUCAGCAGAACGUUUGAGAACCAAACUACAUGAUAUGUGUGAUUGUGUUUCACAAGGAGUUCAUUAAAAUAUUCUACUGGGUAGCUAGUCUUGUUAAUACAUAUUAGUAUGUUGGAUUGUAAUUAUGUUCUGCAAAGUGUUAAUUGAAAUGUGCUAACAGGUUUUGUUGGUCUAAAAAAUAUUGUCUCUCCGUGUCCAAUAAAUGCAGUUCAAAGGGAAAGCCUACAUAUUUCUGUGUCCUGCAUGGUUAAUGCUGAUGUUGCACUUCCUAGAUUUUACCCAUCCUUGAUAACCAGGGUCCUGGUCAUUUCAUACUUCCAAUCCAACUCAGAAACCACAGAAUUUUUGGAGUGGUGCACUGCCUCAGAUAAGUCUGAAUGAGAUUGAACCAAGAAGUUUUAAGUUGAUACCAGCAUUGUCCUGUGCUGUCUGCUCACCACUGGCAAUGGUUCUCAAUUCACUUGUAUGACCAGCUUAAUAGGCAUCAUUGUGUAUUUUGAACAUCGUUGAUGUGUUCUGCUGUGAACAUGGUGAAUAUAGCAUCAUUGUGUAUUUUUAACAUCGUUGAUGUGUUCUGCUGUGAACAUGGUGAAUAUAGCAAUGAUAAUUUUAUCAGCUUCAAUUUUCCGUUUUCCCCAUAUUGACAAUGUGGGACGUACCUGUUUAAAUGGUCAAAUUAGAAAUCAAAUUUAUCAGACAGAUACCUUAUAGUCUAAUGUUACUUCAUGAGAAGUUAUUAUCUUGCAGCCCUUAGAUUAAGGUGGUCCACAUUUAGGGGGUUUGCUGUUAACAUGGUGAAUAUAGCAAUGAUAAUUUUAUCAGCUUCAAUUUUCCGUUGAUGUACCAGUACACUUGGUCCAUGAGAAUCAAGACAACAAUCAAUGUAGGCUUUGUCAGCAUGGAUAUACCAUUUAGGAACAGUAGCCCGCUAAGCUGAAGUGUCCAGCUCACUCAUUUUAAGAAAUUUCGCCGGGGAUUCAGCUUGUGUGGGUUUUCUAUAUGAGUGGAUGAUGUUUUUUAGACCAUACCUGGCAAAGGAUUCCAUGGUGAUUUCUGGUUCUCAUUUAAAUCAGUUGUUAAUGAUUAAAUAAAUAUGUUUCUCUUAAACAUGAUUUUUAUAGA